UACGUAGGCAGCGAGCGUUGUUCGGAGUUACUGGGCCUAAAGAGUGCGUAGGCGGUUUUCUAAGUUUGGUGUGAAAUCUCCCGGCUUAACUGGGAGGGUGCGCCGAAGACUGGAAGGCUUGAGUAUGGGAGAGGUAAGCGGAAUUCCUGGUGUAGCGGUGAAAUGCGUAGAUAUCAGGAGGAACACCUGCGGUGUAGACGGCUUACUGGACCAUAACUGACGCUGAAGCACGAAAGCGUGGGUAGCAAACAGG
rnacentral:rRNA from 1 species